GCCCGCCUAGCUCAAUCGGAUAGAGCGUCAGACUCUUAAUGAGUCCGCAAACGGGCAUCUCAAUGAAUCUGAAGGCUGCGAGUUCGACCCUCGCGGUGGGCU